UAUAAGAUUUCGGUGCUGUUA
ensembl:piRNA 21ur-15289 ncRNA